CUGUUCGAAACCGGUUAGGCAAGUUCCCGACUUCACAUUGCCUAUAAAAUAAAACGAAACCGGCACAGCGAAACCCUACUACGGAGGCGGCGCCGUUGCUUCUGACCACUUGGGAUCUGCUCUCCGGCGGAAUCUCUUGGCUGGAUCGUGUUUCUAUUCUUUCACUUUAACUCUCAUUGACGAUUAUAUCAACUGCUCUUUGUCAAUUAAGGCUUCUGCUUUGAGUGUCUUCCGAAAAUGGAGACUUUGGUUUGAAAUACUCUAGCGAAACUGAUGCCUUUGCAACAGAGUGAAUACCCGAGAGAGUGUUAACAGACGAUAUCUGAUGAAUGCUAUUAUUAGGAAUUUUGAUGAUAGUGAGGCAGCAAUAGAUGUAAUUGCUUUCAAUCUGACUGCUCAAUUGUGUUGUGGUCGGCACUGUUGGAUAAAAGCAAAUGGAUCUAAUAUACUCAAUUAAAAAGGUGAACUCAAUUACAUGUUUUCAAAACAUCAUUAUUUCAGACUAGCAAUCAUUCUUGUUGUGUGUGCUGAUGCUAAUCUAGCUCCAUUCAUACAUCAUUGACUGAUGCUUGGCCAUGAAGUCCUUGUGGUGUGCACAGUUAAUAUUUCUUUUUACCUAUAUUUAAUUAAGUUUAUAAGUUAAAAUUAUUUACUUAUGUCAAUUAUCAAACAAAAUUUGUUUAUUAUUUUCUUUAUGGAAAAAAUAAAUACAUACAUAUAAUUACUGGAACAAUUAUAAUUUCUAUAAGACAUAAGUUUGUGUUAUGGAGUAAGUACGGUAAUGUUUACACUAGAACGGGGAGAAGGAUUGUACUCACCUAGACUGAUUGCGGCGCAGGAUUAAACUAGAUCCGCUCAAGACUCAUAAUUCUAGAACUAAAUAGGAAAUAAAACAAUAAGAAUAAUAAGAAAUAAAAUAAAAAUUAAUGACGAAUUCUUCGAUCCUGUGCCACGAUCAAUCCUAGGUGAGUGCUAUCCUUCUUCUCUCUUCUAGUGUAGACAUGGCCUUGCUAACUCCAUAACAGUUUGCAUCAAGUAUCAAUGAUAUGUCACUACUGCUAUAAUCGUGGCUCUAGGAAUAAUGUUCGUCAUGAACACCAUGUGUCCAUUGGCAUCCAUAACUACAUGAGGAAAGAGUAAGGCAGAUCCUUUUAGCCAUUUGAAUUGCCCAGCUUGCUCGCUGUUGGUAGUCUAUGCCUGUGGCUUGGAUAUGACUGUCCCCUUGCUCAUCUGACCCUAUAAAGGAUGGAUGCACACACAAUUACUGCACAAAAUUUGAAUUGUCGUGUUUCGAACUUUUUUUUUUUGGUUACCUUAUACCCUAUGUAAGUACUGAACAUUUAGUUUGAUAGUGAGAGAAUUAUCGAAUCUAUCCACCACAAUCUCCAGGAUGAAAAAUUCAUUUUAGUUAAAUUGGUGGUAGGGUGAGAAAGGAAUAUGAUGAAUUGUGACAGGUACUGAUGACAGGCUAGAUUGUAGUCUUGGGUGCUUCUCCUGGUGCGUCCAACAGCUGUUGUGAAUGUGCCGAGCAUCUGAGCUGCAAAUAGUCGUGUGAUUACAUUCCUAACUUUAGCUGAUUCCUUUCCUUCCAAACUUUGAUUAAAUUUCAUUACCAGUCGGUUACAGGGCUUGAUGCGUGAAAGUACUGAAUGCAAGGGAUCGAAAUUCAUUUAGAAACGCAUUUUAUUUUCUCUUUCGCUAUUCUUUCCCCUUUAUCAUUUACUUAGCUGUUUUGUAGUCAUGGAUUGUGCCGUGUGCCACAUUGCUGGUCUUUUUUUGCACACUGACAUUAUGAAUUUCCAUUCUGUGGUUUGGAUUGGCUCAUGCAUUUCUUGAGCUGGAAAAUGAAAUAGGAAACAAUUGCUUGUGAAAUAGGAGCACAUCCGACAAUGCGGAAACAAGUGCUUGUGUACAGAGGAUCUUAUGAGUGCCACACUGCAAAUCCUCAAAGCUGUUUCAUUCGCAAUAGAACUCGGGGACAAGUGAAGAACAAAGCUUAGUUCGACUAUUCGGCCUUGACCAUUACCUAUGGUGCUCGGAUCAUCAGUCGAAGCUGAGUAGAGCCACAAGUCAUAAGCUUUGUGAUUUUAUUUUUGAAGUGAUUCAAUGGCGACAAGGACCGACUUCCUGGGGAUAUGCCUAGUCGGAAGCCUUCCCGUUCCAUGCAUUGGUCUAUUGGAAAGCCGGACACUCCGGAUCGCUCAUUUCACGAGAGUAGUACUAGGAUGGUUGAUUUCUUUGGUAAAUUCUUGUGUUCCAUUUUUUUUUUUUU